rnacentral:lncRNA from 1 species
CCCAUCUUUCGACUUGAUGCACCGUUUCAAGUUUGAGGCGUAUCCAUCAAGAAACCUCACUGAUCUCAAAUAUGAAAGAAAUUGAUUUCUCUCUCUUCGAUUCAGUGUAUAACAUGCCAAUGGCUUCACCAGCCUAUCCCCUCAUCGAAUCAAAUGUAAUUUCUUUCUAAUCCGCAUAUCCUCUAAGUCAAGACGAGCCUUCACGGUAUCCUUUGUUCUUCCUUCGAUAUUAAGAAUGGUAUAAAAUAUAUUAUCAAAUAUAUUCUUUUCAAUAUGCAUGACGUCAAGAUUAUAUCGAAGAAGAAGCAUUUUCCAAUAUGGAAGAUCAAACAACUUGCUCUUUUUUCUCCAAUUUCCGAUACUUGUUCACACCCCUACUUGGCUGGCCAGACCCUUACCAAAUAUGACAUCCUGUGGGUUGGGUAACUGAUUUAAAAUAUUGUCCGUAGACCAGAAUCUUGGCUGCGCACGUCAUUCAUGCUUGCCAUUGAACUUAAGACUUCUCCUCCAUUUAUGAUCAUCUGGCAAGAAACGUCGAUGGCCGGUAAAACAAAUCUUUCCACGAAUACGGUCCAAUGUAAUAUCAUCGUUACAAGUUGGGCAUGCUUUGUACCCUUUUGUACACCAUCCAGAA